rnacentral:lncRNA from 1 species
AACAAAUUAGCCCGUAGCCAUUCCCCCCCCCCCCCCCAUUNNNNNNNNNUAUAUACUUCUCUCCAUAUUAUUAAGUCUUUGGAUUUGCAAUAAAAAAUCUUGUUUUCUGCAAUGUUGUUCUAUACAUUCAUCUUCAAAAGGUGAUGUACUCAGUGCUCUUAGUGGGUUUUCCACGUCUUUUCAAAUGCAUUGUUGUGUAUAAAUUUAAUUACUUAGUUUAGGGCUCUUUCGGGAGAAAUCAUAAUACAUUUUAAGUCGUAUUUAUGAAUAUCAUUUAGCUUUCACGUUAUUUUGUAGUGCUUGGCAGAAUUGUCUUUGUCAUGACGUGAUAAUUCUCACUUAAUGUUGGUAAGAGAAUUUAUACAUAAUUUCAUGUUUGAUCUAAAUGUGGAGUAACAAGCAUUUCAUUGAGUAGAAUUCAUUGUACUCAUCCCUCUUUAUCUACCAUUUUUAGGUAAAGAUUAGCAUACUGGAUGGCAGUUGACGGAUAUGCUGUUGGACCAUCCUCAUCAUGAAUUACUUCAAUUUUUGGAGACAUUGAAAUUUUUAAAAGCAGUCGGUUAUUUUUCAUUCUUAGACUCAGUUGUGAGCAAAAUUAUAAAAUUUAAUAGUCCUAG